CCCCUCACCCAUCCAGAGGGAGGCGCAGUUACACGCCUGGAGGGGAAGCAUAAGCAGUGUAAAGAUGCGGAUUGCGGUUGCACUAGGCGUGGUGGUGGCCUGUGCGUUGGCGGCAGCGGGGAGCGGCGGAAAUGCGACGCAG